rnacentral:rRNA from 1 species
AGCUAUUCGAAAGAGUAAUUAAUGUCCUAUAGGAGCCAGCCUCACAUGAGGUUGGCUUUAAAGGCGCAAGCCACUUGGAGAUUGGAGUAUUUUCUAUUAGCUAGUUGGCGGGAUAAUAGCCCACCAAGGCAGUGAUAGAUAGCUGGUCUAAGAGGAUGAACAGCCACAAUGGGAUUGAGAUACGGCCCAUAUUCCUACGGGAAGCAGCAGUAGGGAAUCUUCCACAAUGGGCGAAAGCCUGAUGGAGUGAUGCCAUGUGAAUGAUGAAGGUCUUUUUGAUUGUAAAGUUCUUUUAUUGGGGAAAAUGAUGAUGGUACCCAGUGAAUAAGUGACAGCAAACUAUGUGCCAGCAGCUGCGGUAAUACAUAGGUCGCGAGCGUUAUUCGGAUUUAUUGGGCGUAAAGCGAGCGCAGGCGGAUUGGUAAGUUCUGUGUUAAAUGCAGCCGCUCAACGGUUGUAUGCGCAGAAUACUGCUUUUCUAGAAUACGGUAGAAAGUUUUGGAAUUGAAUGUGGAGCGGUGGAAUGUGUAGAUAUAUUCAAGAACACCAGAGGCGAAGGCGAAAACUUAGGCCGAUAUUGACGCUUAGGCUCGAAAGUGUGGGGAGCAAAUGGGAUUAGAUACCCCAGUAGUCCACACCGUAAACGAUGGAUAUUAGAUGUUGGGACUUGAGUCUCAGCGUUGUAGCUUACGUGUUAAAUAUCCCGCCUGAGUAGUACAUAUGCAAAUAUGAAACUCAAAGGAAUUGACGGGGACCUGAACAAGUGGUGGAACAUGUUGCUUAAUUCGACAAUACACGAAAAACCUUACCAAGAUUUGACAUCCCCUGCAAAGCUUUAGAAAUAAAGUGGAGGUUAUCAGGGUGACAGGUGGUGCAUGGCUGUCGUCAGCUCGUGUCAUGAGAUGUCUGGUUAAGUCCUGAAACGAGCGCAACCCUACUCUUUAGUUAACUUUCUAAAGAGACUGAACAGUAAUGUAUAGGAAGGAUGGGAUCACGUCAAGUCAUCAUGCCCCUUAUAUCUUGGGCCGCAAACGUGUUACAAUGGUGGGUACAACGUGUCGCAAGCCAGCGAUGGCAAGCUAAUCACUAAAAGCUCAUCUCAGUCCGGAUAAAAGGCUGCAAUUCGCCUUUUUGAAGUUGGAAUCACU